UUCCGGUUGAUCCUGCCGGAGCAUUGCUAUCGGAGUCCGAUUUAGCCAUGCUAGUUGCACGAGUUUAGACUCGUAGCAUAUAGCUCAGUAACACGUGGCCAAACUACCCUACAGACCGUCAUAACCUCGGGAAACUGAGGCCAAUAGCGGAUACAACUCUUAUGCUGGAGUGCCGAGAGUUGGAAACGUUCCGGCGCUGUAGGAUGUGGCUGCGGCCGAUUAGGUAGAUGGUGGGGUAACGGCCCACCAUGCCGAUAAUCGGUACAGGUUGUGAGAGCAAGAGCCUGGAGACGGUAUCUGAGACAAGAUACCGGGCCCUACGGGGCGCAGAGGGCGCGAAACCUUUACACUGCACGACAGUCGAAUAGGGGGGACUCCGAGUGCGAGGGCAUAUAGCCCUCGCUUUUUCUGAACCGUAAGUGGGUUCAGGAACAAGGACUGGGCAAGACCGGUGCCAGCCGCCGCGGUAAUACCGGCAGUCCAAGUGAUGGCCGAUAUUAUUGGGCCUAAAGCGUCCGUAGCUUGCUGUGUAAGUCCAUUGGGAAAUCGACCAGCUCAACUGGUCGGCGUCCGGUGGAAACUACACAGCUUGGGGCCGAGAGACUCAACGGGUACGUCCGGGGUAGGAGUGAAAUCCUGUAAUCCUGAACGGACCACCAAUGGGGAAACCACGUUGAGAGACCGGACCCGACUGUGAGGGACGAAAGCCAGGGUCUCGAACCGGAUUAGAUACCCGGGUAGUCCUGGCUGUAAACAAUGCUCGCUAGGUAUGUCACGCGCCAUGAGCACGUGAUGUGCCGUAGUGAAGACGAUAAGCGAGCCGCCUGGGAAGUACGUCCGCAAGGAUGAAACUUAAAGGAAUUGGCGGGGGAGCACCACAACCGGAGGAGCUGCGGUUUAAUUGGAGUCAACGCCGGA
rnacentral:rRNA from 1 species